CCGCCAUCUUGGUUCCGCGUUCCCCGCACAAAAUGCCUGGUGAAGCCACAGAAACCGUCCCUGCUACAGAGCAGGAGUUGCCACAGCCCCAGGCUGAGACAGGGUCUGGAACAGAAUCUGAUAGUGAUGAAUCAGUCCCAGAGCUUGAGGAACAGGAUUCUACACAGGCAACCACACAACAAGCUCAGCUGGCAACAGCAGCUGAAAUCGAUGAAGAACCAGUCAGUAAAGCAAAACAGAGCUGGAGUGAAAAGAAGGUACGGAAGGCUAUGUCCAAACUGGGUCUUCGACAGGUUACAGAGGUUACUAGAGUCACUAUUCGGAAAUCUAAGAAUAUCCUUUUUGUCAUCACAAAACCAGAUGUGUACAAGAGCCCAGCUUCAGAUACCUACAUUGUUUUGGGGGAAGCCAAGAUUGAGGAUUUGUCUCAGCAAGCACAGUUAGCAGCUGCUGAGAAAUUCAAAGUUCAAGGUGAAGCUGUCUCAAACAUCCAAGAAAACACACAGACUCCAACUGUACAAGAGGAGAGUGAAGAGCAAGAGGUUGAUGAAACAGGUGUGGAAGUUAAGAACAUAGAAUUGGUCAUGUCACAAGCAAAUGUGUCGAGAGCAAAGGCAGUCCUAGCCCUGAAGAUGGAAAAGUGCUGUCCUCAGGCCCAAGCCUCGGGUCAUAUUAUGUCCCAGUGGCAAACACUCUCCUCACCUCAGGGGACUUGGAAAAUCGUGGAUGCUGAGAUUCAGAACCUGUGCUUCUAA